AGUAACGAUAAAGCGGGUGAAAAGCCCGCUCGCCGGAAGACCAAGGGUUCCUGUCCAACGUUAAUCGGGGCAGGGUGAGUCGACCCCUAAGGCGAGGCCGAAAGGCGUAGUCGAUGGGAAACAGGUUAAUAUUCCUGUACUUGGUGUUACUGCGAAGGGGGGACGGAGAAGGCUAUGUUGGCCGGGCGACGGUUGUCCCGGUUUAAGCGUGUAGGCUGGUUUUCCAGGCAAAUCCGGAAAAUCAAGGCUGAGGCGUGAUGACGAGGCACUACGGUGCUGAAGCAACAAAUGCCCUGCUUCCAGGAAAAGCCUCUAAGCAUCAGGUAACAUCAAAUCGUACCCCAAACCGACACAGGUGGUCAGGUAGAGAAUACCAAGGCGCUUGAGAGAACUCGGGUGAAGGAACUAGGCAAAAUGGUGCCGUAACUUCGGGAGAAGGCACGCUGAUAUGUAGGUGAAGUCCCUCGCGGAUGGAGCUGAAAUCAGUCGAAGAUACCAGCUGGCUGCAACUGUUUAUUAAAAACACAGCACUGUGCAAACACGAAAGUGGACGUAUACGGUGUGACGCCUGCCCGGUGCCGGAAGGUUAAUUGAUGGGGUCAGCGCAAGCGAAGCUCUUGAUCGAAGCCCCGGUAAACGGCGGCCGUAACUAUAACGGUCCUAAGGUAGCGAAAUUCCUUGUCGGGUAAGUUCCGACCUGCACGAAUGGCGUAAUGAUGGCCAGGCUGUCUCCACCCGAGACUCAGUGAAAUUGAACUCGCUGUGAAGAUGCAGUGUACCCGCGGCAAGACGGAAAGACCCCGUGAACCUUUACUAUAGCUUGACACUGAACAUUGAGCCUUGAUGUGUAGGAUAGGUGGGAGGCUUUGAAGUGUGGACGCCAGUCUGCAUGGAGCCGGCCUUGAAAUACCACCCUUUAAUGUUUGAUGUUCUAACGUUGACCCGUUAUCCGGGUUGCGGACAGUGUCUGGUGGGUAGUUUGACUGGGGCGGUCUCCUCCUAAAGAGUAACGGAGGAGCACGAAGGUUGGCUAAUCCUGGUCGGACAUCAGGAGGUUAGUGCAAUGGCAUAAGCCAGCUUGACUGCGAGCGUGACGGCGCGAGCAGGUGCGAAAGCAGGUCAUAGUGAUCCGGUGGUUCUGAAUGGAAGGGCCAUCGCUCAACGGAUAAAAGGUACUCCGGGGAUAACAGGCUGAUACCGCCCAAGAGUUCAUAUCGACGGCGGUGUUUGGCACCUCGAUGUCGGCUCAUCACAUCCUGGGGCUGAAGUAGGUCCCAAGGGUAUGGCUGUUCGCCAUUUAAAGUGGUACGCGAGCUGGGUUUAGAACGUCGUGAGACAGUUCGGUCCCUAUCUGCCGUGGGCGCUGGAGAAUUGAGGGGGGCUGCUCCUAGUACGAGAGGACCGGAGUGGACGCAUCACUGGUGUUCGGGUUGUCAUGCCAAUGGCACUGCCCGGUAGCUAAAUGCGGAAGAGAUAAGUGCUGAAAGCAUCUAAGCACGAAACUUGCCCCGAGAUGAGUUCUCCCUGACUCCUUGAGAGUCCUGAAGGAACGUUGAAGACGACGACGUUGAUAGGCCGGGUGUGUAAGCGCAGCGAUGCGUUGAGCUAACCGGUACUAAUGAACCGUGAGGCUUAACCUUACAACGCCGAAG
rnacentral:rRNA from 1 species